rnacentral:miRNA from 1 species
ACUGAUUUCUCUUGGUGUUUAGA